ACGUAGGGUGCGAGCGUUAAUCGGAAUUACUGGGCGUAAAGCGUGCGCAGGCGGUUCGUUGUGUCGGUGGUGAAAGCCCCGGGCUUAACCUGGGAAUGGCCAUGGAAACUGGCGAACUGGAGUGUGGCAGAGGGGGGUGGAAUCCCCGGUGUAGCGGUGAAAUGCGUAGAGAUCGGGAGGAACAUCAGUGGCGAAGGCGGCCAUCUGGGACAACACUGACGCUGAAGCACGAAAGCGUGGGGAGCAAACAGGA
rnacentral:rRNA from 1 species